UACGUAGGGUGCGAGCGUUGUCCGGAAUUAUUGGCGUAAAGAGCUCGUAGGCGGUCUGUCGCGUCGGUCGUGAAAACUUGGGGCUUAACCCUGAGCUUGCGGUCGAUACGGGCAUGACUGGAGUUCGGUAGGGGAGACUGGAAUUCCUGGUGUAGCGGUGAAAUGCGCAGAUAUCAGGAGGAACACCGGUGGCGAAGGCGGGUCUCUGGGCCGAUACUGACGCUGAGGAGCGAAAGCGUGGGGAGCGAACAGG
rnacentral:rRNA from 1 species